AUUGAACGCUGGCGGCAGGCUUAACACAUGCAAGUCGAGCGGGGAAAUGUAGCUUGCUACAUUACCUAGCGGCGGACGGGUGAGUAAUGCUUAGGAAUCUGCCUAUUAGUGGGGGACAACAUUCCGAAAGGAAUGCUAAUACCGCAUACGUCCUACGGGAGAAAGCAGGGGACCUUCGGGCCUUGCGCUAAUAGAUGAGCCUAAGUCGGAUUAGCUAGUUGGUGGGGUAAAGGCCUACCAAGGCGACGAUCUGUAGCGGGUCUGAGAGGAUGAUCCGCCACACUGGGACUGAGACACGGCCCAGACUCCUACGGGAGGCAGCAGUGGGGAAUAUUGGACAAUGGGGGGAACCCUGAUCCAGCCAUGCCGCGUGUGUGAAGAAGGCCUUUUGGUUGUAAAGCACUUUAAGCGAGGAGGAGGCUACUAGUAUUAAUACUACUGGAUAGUGGACGUUACUCGCAGAAUAAGCACCGGCUAACUCUGUGCCAGCAGCCGCGGUAAUA
rnacentral:rRNA from 1 species